UACAGAGGGGGCAAGCGUUGUUCGGAAUUACUGGGCGUAAAGGGCGCGUAGGCGGCCUGUUAAGUCGAACGUGAAAUCCCCGGGCUCAACCCGGGAACUGCGUCCGAUACUGGCAGGCUUGAAUCCGGGAGAGGGAUGCGGAAUUCCAGGUGUAGCGGUGAAAUGCGUAGAUAUCUGGAGGAACACCGGUGGCGAAGGCGGCAUCCUGGACCGGUAUUGACGCUGAGGCGCGAGAGCCAGGGGAGCAAACGGG
rnacentral:rRNA from 1 species